AAGUAAGGCAGUCUUUUUAAAGUAGGGGUAAAUUACUCUAAAAGAAGUGAAUCCUAGAUAGUUUUCCCCUCAAGUAAAGCACCUUGU
rnacentral:pre_miRNA from 1 species